rnacentral:rRNA from 1 species
AGUGAACGCUGGCGGUAGGCCUAACACAUGCAAGUCGAACGGCAGCACAGUAAGAGCUUGCUCUUACGGGUGGCGAGUGGCGGACGGGUGAGGAAUACAUCGGAAUCUACUUUUUCGUGGGGGAUAACGUAGGGAAACUUACGCUAAUACCGCAUACGACCUACGGGUGAAAGCAGGGGAUCUUCGGACCUUGCGCGAUUGAAUGAGCCGAUGUCGGAUUAGCCAGUUGGCGGGGUAAAGGCCCACCAAGGCGACGAUCCGUAGCUGGUCUGAGAGGAUGAUCAGCCACACUGGAACUGAGACACGGUCCAGACUCCUACGGGAGGCAGCAGGGGGGAAUAUUGGACAAUGGGCGCAAGCCUGAUCCAGCCAUACCGCGUGGGUGAAGAAGGCCUUCGGGUUGUAAAGCCCUUUUGUUGGGAAAGAAAAGCAGCAGGUUAAUACCCCGCUGUUCUGACGGUACCCAAAGAAUAAGCACCGGCUAACUUCGU